ensembl:lncRNA
GUUAGAGUUAGCGUUGUCACUGGGUUUAUCAUUUGAGUUAGCAUUAUCACUAGGUUUAUAGUCAGAGUUAGCGUUGUCACUUGGCUUAUGGUUAGAGUUAGCAUUGUCACUCGGUUUACGGUCAGAGUUAGCAUUGUCACCAGGUUUAUGGUAAGAGUUAACGUUGUCACUGGGUUUAUCAUCAGAGUUAGCAUUGCCACUAGGUUUAUGUUUAGAGUUAGCGUUGUCAUUCGGUUUAUGGUUAGAGUUAGCAUUGUCACUAGGUUUAUGGUCAGAGUUAUCAAUUGCCCUAGGGUUUAUGGUUACAGUUAGCGUUGUCACUAGAUUUAUGGUUAGAGCUAAUGUUGUCACUAGAUUUAUGGUCAGAGUUAGCGUUGUCACUAAGUUUUUGGUUAAAGUUAGCAUUCUCACUAGAUUUAUGGUCAGUUAGCAUUGUCACUAGGUUUAUAGAGUUAGCAUUGUCACUAGGUUUAUGGUAAGAGUUAGCAUUGUUAUUAGGUUAAUGUAUAGAGCUAGUGUUUUCACUAGGUUUACGGUGAGAGCUAAUGUUGUCACUAGGUUUAUGGUUAGAGCUAGCGUUGUCACUAGGUUUAUGGUGAGAGCUAGUGUUUUUACUAGGUUUAUGGUUAGAUGUUUAAUAAAUUGUUGUCUUCCAAAAGUCAAUCUCGAAUAGCAAAACAAGUUUGUCUGUGAGGCCCAUUCAAAACUCAAUUUUUGUACAGCAGCUUCACCACAGAUGUUUCCUUGGCAACCCUACUAGGUCAUCCAAUGGGAAGAGGGGGCUGGGUAAGGAGGGAAUUGGGGGGGGCUGAUAGGAGUCAGAGAGGUGCAGUGACACAGUCUAUCUAUGUCUCAGAUUUACCUCAAGUUACUCUCCCUCCCUUUUUCUCUCCCUCCCUCCCUCCCUC